rnacentral:lncRNA from 1 species
GGCCUGGGCCCGGAGUGGGUGGGGGUGGGGGGGUGGGGAGGAGAGGGGAGUGGGGAGAGGGGAGGUGUGUGAAGGGAGGGGGGUCCGGGGGGCGGGUCCCUGUGCCGCUGACGUCCCGAGCAGUGCUGGGAAGUAUAGGCUGUGUUGUCACGCCGGUGUCAGUCUGAUGAAGAUUGGCAUCAGGUGAAGUCUGGAGCAGGACUCUAAGGCUUUCUGUCCUCCAUGCCGCUCGCCAGAAAAGGGGCUGUGAACUGUAAGUAACUUUGAUUGGCGUUUUCCACAUUGACUCAAUAAGGUUAUGGGUUAAAGACCAGAACCCUGAGCCUGAUCUUUAACAGCUGUGCAUUGUGCGAGCGUCACCCUCAACACCGAGCAAGGCCGA